GACGAACGCUGGCGGCGUGCUUAACACAUGCAAGUCGAACGAAGUGGCGAACGGGUGAGUAACGCGUAAUCAACCUGCCCUUCAGAGGGGGAUAACAGUUGGAAAAGACUGCUAAUACCGAAUACUGAAGGCGGGGAUGGCGUGUGAGUAGCUAGUUGGGGGGCUAACGGCCAACCAAGGCGAGGUGCAGUAGCCUGGUUGAGACGCUGAACGGCCACAUGUGGACUGAGACACUGGCCAGACUCCUACGAGAGGCAGACGUGGGGAAUUUUCCGAAAUGGACGGAAGUCUGACGGAGCCACGCCGCGUAAGUGAUGACGGCCUUCGGGUUGUAAAGCUGUGUUAAUCGGGACGCGGUACCGGGAUAGAAAGCAACGGCUAACUCCGUGCCAGCAGCCGCGGUAAUAC
rnacentral:rRNA from 1 species